rnacentral:tRNA from 2 species
UCCCGGAUCGUCUAAUCGGCAGGACAAGUGGUUUUGGUCCACUUUGUAGGGGUUCGAGUCCUCUUCCGGGAGCCU